rnacentral:rRNA from 1 species
AAUGAACGUUAGCGGCGUGGAUUAGGCAUGCAAGUCGAGCGAGAACCGUAGCAAUACGGGGAAAGCGGCGCAAGGGACAGUAAUGUGUAGAUACCUACCCUCGGGUCCGGGAUAGCUGCGGGAAACUGCAGGUAAUACCGGAUGACAUCUCCGGAUCAAAGGUGUGAUUCCGCCCGGGGACGGGUCUACAUCCUAUUAGCUAGUUGGUAGGGUAACGGCCUACCAAGGCGAUGAUGGGUAGCAGGUGUGAGAGCACGACCUGCGUCAUUGGGACUGAGACACUGCCCAGACACCUACGGGUGGCUGCAGUCGAGGAUCUUCGGCAAUGGGCGCAAGCCUGACCGAGCGACGCCGCGUGCGGGAUGAAGGCCUUCGGGUUGUAAACCGCUGUCAGUGGGGAGGAAAUUCCUGGGGGUUCUCCCCCAGGAUUGACUUAUCCGCAGAGGAAGUGUGGGCUAAGCUCGUGCCAGCCGCCGCCGUAAAAC